rnacentral:rRNA from 1 species
AUGCAAUUAUGUAUAGCUAAUGUGAUUGCAAAGUGCACAUCUUACCUUUUUUAUCAGCGCCCUACAUCUCCUCACUUAUGUGUGGCAGCUUGCUCCAUGGAUCUCCAGCUAUAUCUCCACAAGCCGAGUACUGAACUUGACAUAACCGGUCUGGUAGAACUGCUUACAAGCCAGAUUGACAGAACCAUUUUUAUCUGCAAGGCAGGCUGGCAGAGAAAACCAGUAGACCAACACUACAGAAGAGCUGGAGCAUUUUACAAGAUUUCCAAGCGAUUGUGCCGUUUCCAGCAAUUACUGCACUGCACAGUCUAUAUGUAA